AAAAAAAAAAAACUGGCUCGUGUUAGAAUGUUCUUCAUACUAUAGAUCCUAAUAUGUGAUUUUAGGAUUGGAGAAGACGAAGGGCAAACUAUAAUUUACUCUUUCCGUGUAAUACAGAUAAAUUUACUUUAUUUUAUUUUCAUCUUAAUUUUUUUAAAAUUUAUAAAGGAUAAUUGAAUAAAAAAAAAAACUAGGUAGUUAUAUUUAGUGGGUAAAAACAAAAAGAAAAACUAUAUCAUGGUCUAACAUUGCUUUAACUCGUGACAAAAGAACUUGCAGUAAUUUCAGUUUUUAGCAAAGUGGGUAUUACCAAGGUUGAGACCAUGUUUUCCAGUACUCGUAUGGGAUGGGUAAUAUCAUAUCUAUUGGUUCUUACGCGUGGAGUAGAAUGUAUUCAUUUAUUGUCAACAAAAAAAAAAUAAAAGCAGAAUGUAUUCCUUGAAAUCACUUCCAUAUCCUGUACAAGAGCGUCAUAACAUAUUACCAACAUUCAAAAGUUCCAACUGAUGGGUUGAAAUGUAUGCUGAUCUGUGGAAACAGCCAAGGGAGAAGCUUUUAUAUGCAUGAAACCCAACCAAGAAUAAAACUCAAAUAGACACAACAUGUCAAUUACGUNN
rnacentral:lncRNA from 1 species